rnacentral:rRNA from 1 species
CGUCUAGGUUAGCCAUUGCAUGUGUAAGCGAAGCGUAAGUGGAGCGGCGUAAGGCUUCAGUAACGGGCGAUUAUUUGAUCUCUCUCGGUGGAUAUCCUCUGUAAACGGAGGGCAAAACACAGAAGAGGCGGUGGUUACAUCGUCUGUUUAACGAAUAGUGAGAGAGAGUAAGAUGCCAUCCCAUCAGUUAGUAAGUAGGGUAAGGGCCUACUUAGACGAAGACGGGUACGGGGAAUUAUCGUUUGAUUCCGGAGAGGGAGCCUGAGAGACGGCUACCAGGUCCAAGGACAGCAGCAGGCGCGAAAAUUACCGCAGCCUGCAUUCAGGGCGGUAGUAAGGAGACGUGAAUACGAUGUGCAGGUAAAUGAUGCACUAAAUACAGGAGGACAAGACUGGUGCCAGCACCCGCGGUAAUACCAGCUCCUGGAGUGUCUAUGAUGAUUGCUGCAGUUAAAGAGUUCGUAGUCGGAGCGUUUUGACCGGCGUGACAGACUGCCACUCAAGGGGAGUUUUGCGCCGUGAUUACGCGGAAUGAGGAGCGUCUAGGGGCCAGGUUAUUAAGCGACGAGGGGUGAAAUCUGGUGACUCGCUUAGGAGCGACAGAGGCGAAAGCGCUGGCCAGGGGCGAAUCCGAUGAUAAAGGACGUAGGCUAGAGGAUCGAAGACGAUUAGAGACCGUUGUAGUUCUAGCAGUAAACGAUGCCGAUGCCGUGGUGCUUUGUGAGCGACGCGGAAGAGAAAUCUAGUAGGGCCCUGGGGAGAGUACGCGCGCAAGCGAGAAAUUUAAAGGAAAUUGACGGAAGAACACCACAAGGAGUGGAGUGUGCGGCUUAAUUUGACUCAACGCGGGACAGCUUACCAGGCCCGACGGCCGGACGAGUGUGGUACACGAUAGGCCCGAAAAAUGGUGCAUGGCCGUGACACAA